GAUCGGUUAUAUAGAUCAUUUUUUACCAUUUAGGUCUGUUUGAAACCAUUCCCAUAUCAAUAUCCAAAAGUGAUCAAACAAAUAAGAUAUUUUACACAAGUGCUUUAAAAUAGUAUUUGAAGAAAAACAAAAACUUUUGGAAGCUAUAAAAUAGGAUACAUAAAGGAAAAGAAGUUAACCUAUCUAGCAAAUGAGAAGAGUUACAGCUUCCAUGAUAUAAUCAUGAUUAAAGCUUCAAUUUUCCAAACAUCUAUCAAAGCAAAUAGCUCUCUUGUUGAUUGUGAAACUAAACUGCUAUACAUGUAGGUAUUUGGAAAAAGAAAAUGAAGAAACAAAAGGAAAAAUUAAAUUAUGCUCAAAUAGAGGCAUUUCUUUUUUUCAAAGACACUCCAAAAUCGUAAACUUUUAAACCAAAGGCAAGCAUGCAUCAAGAAACGAGCUCAGAGGCACCGAGCAUUAAUCACCCAACCUAACAUAAAUUCUGAGAUGAAUGCAGCUGAUCAAUACUCAAAUACAACUGAAUUGAUAAUGAUCUCAUUCUUCAAUCCUUUCUCAUUAUCAAUCAGACUUGACUAAAACCAUUUCUAUUUCUAUCCAUAAAAGGACCCCAGUAUUCCAGUUACAUUUCUUUUUCCUCAAUAUUUUAACCACAACACAAUACCUAUCCUAAACCCUGAAAAAUUCCAAUUCCAGACUCAAUCCCACAAGAACUAUUAGCCUAAAAUAAACGAUGAAGUAAACAACAAAAUGGGGAAUACCGAUGAGCUUAAACCAAUAAAAAGGCGGAAAAAAUAAAACAAAAACUCAACAAACAUACCUGUUAGCGUGAAGCAAAGCAGCUGGGCCCAAGUAAGAUUCAGGGUUCCACCAAUAGCUGGGGCAG
rnacentral:misc_RNA from 1 species